UACAGAGGUCCCAAGCGUUGUUCGGAUUCAUUGGGCGUAAAGGGUGCGUAGGCGGCGGGGUAAGUCAGGUGUGAAAUCCCGGAGCUCAACUCCGGAACUGCUCUUGAUACUGCCUUGCUCGAGUACUGGAGAGGAGACUGGAAUUUACGGUGUAGCAGUGAAAUGCGUAGAUAUCGUAAGGAAGACCAGUGGCGAAGGCGAGUCUCUGGACAGUUACUGACGCUGAGGCACGAAGGCCAGGGGAGCAAACGGG
rnacentral:rRNA from 1 species